rnacentral:rRNA from 1 species
AACGAACGCUGGCGGCGCGCCUAAUACAUGCAAGUCGAGCGAGAAGACGUAGCAAUACGUUUGUAAAGCGGCGAACGGGUGAGGAAUACAUGGGUAACCUACCCUCGAGUGGGGAAUAACUAGCCGAAAGGUUAGCUAAUACCGCGUACGCUCCUCGGACUUCGGUUCAGGGAGGAAAGCGAUACCGUGGGUAUCGCGCUCUUGGAUGGGCUCAUGUCCUAUCAGCUUGUUGGUGAGGUAACGGCUCACCAAGGCUUCGACGGGUAGCUGGUCUGAGAGGACGAUCAGCCACACUGGCACUGCGACACGGGCCAGACUCCUACGGGAGGCAGCAGUAAGGAAUAUUGCGCAAUGGGCGAAAGCCUGACGCAGCGACGCCGCGUGGGGGAU